rnacentral:rRNA from 1 species
GUCUACGGCCAUACCACCCUGAAAGCGCCCGAUCUCGUCUGAUCUCGGAAGCUAAGCAGGGACGGGCUUGGUUAGUACCUGGAUGGGAGACCGCCUGGGAAUACCAGGUGUUGUAGGCU